AUUGAACGCUGGCGGCAGGCCUAACACAUGCAAGUCGAACGGCAACAGGAAGCAGCUUGCUGCUUUGCUGACGCGUGGCGGACGGGUGAGUAAUGUCCGGGAAACUGCCUGAUGGAGGGGGAUAACUACUGGAAACGGUAGCUCAUACCGCAUAACGUCCCAAGACCAAAGAGGGGGACCUCAGGGCCUCUUGCCAUCGGAUGUGCCCCGAUGGGAUUAGCUAGUAGGUGGGGUAACGGCUCACCCAGGCGACGAUGCCUAUCUUGUCUGAGAGGAUGACCAGCCACACUGGAACUGAGACACGGUCCAGACUCCUACGGGAGGCAAGAGUGGGGAAUAUUGGACAAUUGGCGCAAGCCUGAUGCAGCCAUGCCGGGUGUAUGAAGAAGGGCUUCGGGUUGUUAAGUACUUUCAGCGGGGAGGAAAGGAGUAAAGUUAAUACCUUUGCUCAUUGACGUUACCCGCAGAAGAAGGACCGGCUAACUCCGUG
rnacentral:rRNA from 1 species